rnacentral:rRNA from 1 species
UACGUAGGGUGCAAACGUUGUUCGGAAUCACUGGGCAUAAAGAGCGCGUAGGCGGUCUGAUAAGUCUUGUGUGAAAGCCCCCGGCUCAACCGGGGAAUUGCACUGGAUACUGUCGGGCUAGAGUACAGGAGGGGAGAGCGGAAUUCCUGGUGGAGCGGUGAAAUGCGUAGAUAUCAGGAGGAACGCCAGUGGCGAAAGCGGGUUGCUGGGCUGACACUGACGCUGAAGCGCGAAAGCUAGGGGAGCGAACGGG